rnacentral:rRNA from 1 species
CGGCGGACGGGUGAGUAACGCGUGGGUAACCUACCCUAAAGCUCGGGAUAACAGUGGGAAACCGCUGCUAAUACCGGAUGACUUUAACCUAUGGCAUCAUGGGUUAAAGAAAGAUUUAUCGCUUUAGGAUGGGCCCGCGUCCCAUUAGCUAGUUGGUGAGGUAACGGCUCACCAAGGCGACGAUGGGUAGCCGGCCUGAGAGGGUGUACGGCCACACUGGGACUGAGACACGGCCCAGACUCCUACGGGAGGCAGCAGUAGGGAAUAUUGCGCAAUGGACGGAAGUCUGACGCAGCGACGCCGCGUGAGCGAUGAAGGCCUUCGGGUCGUAAAGCUCUGUC